GCUGACUUCUCCAAGAAGGCACUCUUGGAAACGGUAACGGUGCCUGAAGCCAAUGAAUCAGAGACUGCUCACUUUAUCUUCUCCCGGGAGUCUUCAUCUAAAGAAUGAAGUAACAACCCAAAAGACAAGACUGCAGAGCACUGAGAACUUGCUGGAAUGCUAGCACUCCACAGAUGGCUCUGUUCCAUUCAUUGAGAAGAUAGUUUCUUUAAAUUGUUAUAUCUAUACAUUUCUGUAUCCCACUGUUUUCAAAGAGUCAAGAAUGUAUAAUCCCAAUAAUAAAC
rnacentral:lncRNA from 1 species